AGUGAACGCUGGCGGUAGGCCUAACACAUGCAAGUCGAACGGCAGCACAGUAAGAGCUUGCUCUUACGGGUGGCGAGUGGCGGACGGGUGAGGCAUACAUCGGAAUCUACUUUUUCGUGGGGGAUAACGUAGGGAAACUUACGCUAAUACCGCAUACGACCUACGGGUGAAAGCAGGGGAUCUUCGGACCUUGCGCGAUUGAAUGAGCCGAUGUCGGAUUAGCUAGGUGGCGGGGUAACGGCCCACCAAGGCGACGAUCCGUAGCGGGUCUGAGAGGAUGAUCAGCCACACUGGAACUGAGACACGGUCCAGACUCCUACGGGAGGCAGCAGUGGGGAAUAUUGGACAAUGGGCGCAAGCCUGAUCCAGCCAUACCGCGUGGGUGAAGAAGGCCUUCGGGUUGUAAAGCCCUUUUGUUGGGAAAGAAAAGCAGCAGGUUAAUACCCCGCUGUUCUGACGGUACCCAAAGAAUAAGCACCGGCUAACUUCGUG
rnacentral:rRNA from 1 species